UUCCUAAUUGCUUCUAAGUCGCUCUGGAUAAGAGCGUCUGCUAAAUGACUCAAA
rfam:Salmo salar isolate Sally breed double haploid chromosome ssa15, whole genome shotgun sequence.